rnacentral:tRNA from 1 species
GCUGCUAAGAAGCAACCUGCGUAACGAGCUUGGGGAUCGUACUUCUCACCCAAAAUCAAUGCUA